rnacentral:rRNA from 1 species
CUUUUUGGCCAUACUACCCUGAACACGUCCAAUCUUGUCUGAUCUCAAAAGCUAAGCAGGGUCGGGCCUGGUUAGUACUUGGAUGGGAGUGUGAGCAAUUGCUCCUGAGUCAGUCAGC